rnacentral:rRNA from 1 species
AUUGAACGCUGGCGGCAGGCCUAACACAUGCAAGUCGAGCGGAUGAAGGGAGCUUGCUCCUGGAUUCAGCGGCGGACGGGUGAGUAAUGCCUAGGAAUCUGCCUGGUAGUGGGGGAUAACGUCCGGAAACGGGCGCUAAUACCGCAUACGUCCUGAGGGAGAAAGUGGGGGAUCUUCGGACCUCACGCUAUCAGAUGAGCCUAGGUCGGAUUAGCUAGUUGGUGGGGUAAAGGCCUACCAAGGCGGCGAUCCGUAACUGGUCUGAGAGGAUGAUCAGUCACACUGGAACUGAGACACGGUCCAGACUCCUACGGGAGGCAGCAGUGGGGAAUAUUGGACAAUGGGCGAAAGCCUGAUCCAGCCAUGCCGCGUGUGUGAAGAAGGUCUUCGGAUUGUAAAGCACUUUAAGUUGGGAGGAAGGGCAGUAAGUUAAUGCCUUGCUGUUUUGACGUUACCAACAGAAUAAGCACCGGCUAACUUCGUG